rnacentral:rRNA from 1 species
GAUGAACGCUGGCGGCGUGCCUAACACAUGCAAGUCGAGCGAUUCUCUUCGGAGAAGAGCGGCGGACGGGUGAGUAACGCGUGGGUAACCUGCCCUGUACACACGGAUAACAUACCGAAAGGUAUGCUAAUACGGGAUAACAUAAGAAAUUCGCAUGUUUUUCUUAUCAAAGCUCCGGCGGUACAGGAUGGACCCGCGUCUGAUUAGCUAGUUGGUGAGGUAAUGGCUCACCAAGGCGACGAUCAGUAGCCGACCUGAGAGGGUGAUCGGCCACAUUGGAACUGAGACACGGUCCAAACUCCUACGGGAGGCAGCAGUGGGGAAUAUUGCACAAUGGGCGAAAGCCUGAUGCAGCAACGCCGCGUGAGCGAUGAAGGCCUUCGGGUCGUAAAGCUCUGUCCUCAAGGAAGAUAAUGACGGUACUUGAGGAGGAAGCCCCGGCUAACUACGUGC